UUGUUUGGUUGGUUUGGUUUGGUUUGGUUUGGUUUGACUUUUGUCUUUCUGGUGGAACAAAUAUACUAUUAGUGGAAAACUCAAUUGAACAUCCCAGUUCUGUAGAACUACAAAGAGGAUUCAAAUUACAGUGAAUACUUUGGAUUGGCCAAUUAUUUUCAGUUUGUAAACUAUUUGGGAACAUCUGGAUAACGAAAAUAGUUAAGCAUUUCCACCAGUUCAUCCAGUGUUAAAGUUUUUCAUCUAUAACAAAAAUACUUCAUUUUAACUAAUAGGUAGUUGUGUCCAUUCCCUUUCUAAGAGAGUCUAACACAAAAGUAAAAUUUUACAAUCUUAUCAUACUGUCCAAGAUAGUAAGAUACAUCAAGUCCAUAGUAGAUAAUAUACUAUAGUAAAAUAAUCCAAUAUAUUCAUAACAUCUUGAAUAGUGUUGGUGACUGUGGUCUUUUAUGUUGUCCGUUUCAGGAGUAAACUUUGGAAAAGUUUCUAAUUAAAGAAAGACCACAUGCUUGGAGUUCAAUCCACUUUAACACUGUAAAACAAAACAUGACUAUGAGUUUGAAACCUACUCGAGAACUGAAUUAUAACUUGAACACAUACUGGCAGAGCACAAAUCUCUUCGUAAAAGCCCAAUCAUAUUUUCUAAAUAUGUUGAGGGAAACAGUAUUUAGAAAAAUUCUACACAGAGUAUAUUCUGUUAUUUAGAACAUGCUAUUUAAUCAUUUGCUGUUCACCACCUCAUAGACACAACUAUUAAAAAAUCUUUAGCAUUUAAUACUUUAGUAUCAAGAUACAUGAGAGUUUCGUGGUUGCUUGGCUGGUUUUGACUGGUUUGGUUCAGUUUGGUUGGGGUUUGGAUAUUCUGGCUGCUUUUGAGUUCAGUGGAGAGGGUUGUUUUUUGUUUGUUUGUUUUUUUGUUUGUUUGUUUUUGUUUGUUUGGUUGGUUUUUUUUUGGAGAGGAAAUUUCCAUAACUACUUGUACCUAGACUAGUGAUAUAAAAAAAAAUAUUUUGAAAUGAGGAAUGCUAUAUAUUCCCAAGGCUUUAAAUUAGAGAAAAUUUUAGAGGUUAAACAUUCUAUAUUUCAUUUUACCGUUUUCAGAAAGUAUCACUUAUAUAUGUGUGACAUACCUAAUCUAUGCUAGAGAAACUCAAUGUAUUUUUUUAUCUUCAAAUCCAUAAAACUGAUUUCCUAUCUCCUAGAGGAUGUGUGGCCCCAUAGAAUUACCACACAUAGCUGUGGAGUUUGCUUCUCAAUCAAAGCCUUAAAUAAUUCCUUGCACAGAUCAUGAACGUCUCACUUCAAAUGAGCAUUUGAAAGGUUUUAUUUGGAUUUUUAAAGUGAAAUCUGUCUCAUUUUGUACCUGUUUUAAGACCAAUUAAAUUGCUUUAAAGGAUUAUACUUAUUAUUUCUUAGUUGGCUUCUUAAGUUUGUUUUAUUUUUUUAUGAACUUUAGAUUUCUAAGUAACUUUUCUUUUUAUGUUUAAGGUAUUUGUUGAGUGUGUGGAACAAUGAUGAAUUUUCUCCAUAAACUUUUAGAACAAUUUUUAUAUAUUGAUGUAUCCACUGAUCAGAAAUUUUUAAAAAUAAAAUAUAUCAUGUGAAAAUUUGAAUCUGUAUAUAAUUUGAUUUCCUACAAAUUUCUUCAGUUUGAAAAAGAUGCUAUAUUUUCCAAAUACCUGGCAUGGGCAAAAAAAGGAAAGUGAUACAAGAGGAUAAAACAUGAGAAAAUUAGUAUUCACAGAGUGAUAUCUUAACCCUGUCAGGGGCCACAGCCACCCCACACACGGCACUCAACCCACUCUAAGUCUCUGGCAUUGCGUGAGCUUUAACGCCAAUACACCACUAUUCCUUGCAUGCCUUCAUGUGAAUGAAUCUGUCACUCUACAGGUAUUGUUCUCAGAGCUGUCACUGAAGUGUUUCCUGCGGUGAUGUCAGGAUGCACUGGGGAGUACAGAAGAGGGGUUUUACUCUGGUGCCUUUCCUGCAUCAAGUGCAGAUUAGCACUCAGCUUCCAUUGUUACUUCUUCAUCUUUUCUUCAUACCCAUGCCACUUAAUCCCCACACGAAGCAAUCAGGGAGAUAUUUUCACUUGUUUUUAAUGUUUAAGCAGAGUAUACUGAAGGUGCAGAAGUGAUACUAAAACUAGAACUGGAGAUACAAAAUCCCUGUUUCUCUGAACCGUGGCUCUUAAGGCUCAACUAAGAUCAUGUCAUCUGUCUAUUUUGAUCCUAGUUUUGAACAGAGUAAUUAUUUUUUAACCAGCAAUGAGAAUGUCAUCACUUGUCUGUAGUAAAACAGUUAAAACCAAUAUAAUUAAGCUUAUCACACCUCUUUUUAUAGCACUUCAAAUGUUUGGGAAAAGCAAAGUUACAGUUACAAUGCUAUAAUUAUAAUACUCAUUAUGACAUUUCUUUCUCAUUAGCAUAAGCUUUAUUGCCAUUAGCCGUGAGCAUUUUUUAAAAUAUGAACUUCUAAAAUUAAAUUUUUUCAAGAAUGUUACUUAAUGCAGAAGUAGAUAAGAAAUUUUCUCUGAAGUAUUAUUAGGACAUAUUUUCAUAAAUGACUCUCCAACAUGUGAGGAGAUUAAAAUAACUAUUAUACUCUGCUAUAUGCUGAAAGCACUUUCAUAUUAAUUCAUACAAUAGUGUAAGGUGCCAGCAUUGAUUGUAUCCCUAUUUUGCAGAAAAUGAGAUGCUAUACAGUUGCUGAGUCUGAAGGCAUGAAGAUAAAAUUAAUAAAUUGAAAGUCUUCCUCUCCUGACAGUAUAAAGAUUUUUGGUUCACAAACUAAAGUGAUAAAAAACAGCAUUGUAAUAUUUCUGAGACAGUAAGCAACUUUAGUGCAAGAUAAGUGGUUUUGUUUUCCAAAAGGUUGAUAUAGCCAGAAGUUUUCAAAAUUACAACUAUCAUGUAAGUCAAAAUGUACUAGCAAACCUGGUGCAUUUGGCAAUGCUGGGUUUUUAGUGUAGGUUGAGUCUGGAGGUAUAACUUAAAAGUAAACAAGGGAAACUUUUUUAAAACCUGAGGAAUCUUAUGAAAGUAAACAUGUCUAAGCAAUUGGAGGAGCAUCGUAGAUACAUGGAGUUGCUCACAGUAAAUGUGUCUGGUGAAAUCUUCGGUAUAUUUACUGUGUGGUUCUAGAGAAAACUAUUAAAUUCCAUUGCAACUCUCACAAGAUGCAAUACCUACCAUAAUUCAAGGCAGUUUCUACAUGUUGCUUUUUUCAUAAAAGUUAAAGUUUUGCUAUUUGAAACAUUUUCAGAUUUGAAACAUUUUAAUUUCAGACUUAAAAAUAUAAAAGUUCUUGAUUCCUGAACAAAUGGACAUGGUAUAGUGGAGUUAAGUGUUGGAAGUUUAUGGAUAGCUUAUCUUUCAAAAUAAUAAAAAAAAAUAGAUUAAUAGUAUAUGUUCACACUGUUUAAAUUUUACUUAAGAAGUAUGUUUUUAGCCAAAACAAAAUUAAUCAUAUCAAUUUGAAAUUUAUUGAAUACAAUACAUUUAGAAAUUUAAGUGCCCUCAGUGUAGUGAUUUUAAGAUAUGAGCUUCUUAUAUACACAUUGAUUCUUGACAGUUCGGUAGCUGUAGUGCAUCUACAUUUUACAGCCUUAAGAACCACACAUGUGUUUAUUUAACUUGUUAAAUCCUUAAGUAUUUUAAUAUGUUGUAAAGAUUUUAUGAAACCACUAUUAAAAUGAAAUGUCAGUAACGGUUGAGCCCAGGGCCUCACACGUAGGAGGCUCCGACACUGAGGCACAGCAUCAGUAUCCUGAAAAGUUUUCCAGCCUUCAACUUAGUACCCUGUCCAUUUCUAUCUUAGUGCCAGGGUCACAUUGGUGUACGAUUAUACCCAUCUCACACAUAGCAUCUUAUGAAAUCAUUUUAAAAUCAGUAAAAUCUAAAGGACUUUGUUUUAAUCCUAUGUGUUUUGCCCUGUGUUUAACUGCUUUUUGACAGAAGCAGAAAAAUAAAACACAAAAGUGAUCUCUGUAUUUGACCUUGUAGUUUAUAGGGUGGGCGGCCUUCAGCAUACUUGAGAGAUUGAGUUCGCCUUCCCAAAUGUUAGUAGAUUAUCAAAGUAAUUGUGUGUAAUAACUAUAAAAUCCAACUUAACCAUCCUAUUGAAUGUGUUAUUACUCUGUAGAAUAAUUUUAAUUCUUUCAUAGAAGUAGCUUGGUUGUUUUAAAGGCAUUGUUUAAAUUUGUUUCCUAUAUUUUGUUUUAACUUCAAAAAUAUAUUGCAAAAGCUAUCUUUUAGAAUUUUUUUAUCAAAUUAUGUUUUUUAAUUGUGUAAAUGGCUGUACCAUGUUUACUGACAAUAAUAUAUUCGUCUUUGUUUCUGUAGUUCUCC
rnacentral:lncRNA from 1 species